rnacentral:misc_RNA from 1 species
GCCAAGUCAAAUAAAUUAUAAUUGAUGCACAGUUGAGAGUUUUCGCCAUGCACAAGCAAUCACUCGUGCAGCAAAUCAGUAAAAUAUUAUAGAACUUUCACUCACUCCAACAUUUCUUCAAUUAGUGGUCACUUCCUCAACUAGAGAAUGCUUUUCAAGGAUUGUCACAGUCUCUUCCUUUGCACUUCCAGGUCUAAGAAUCUUAUACUUUCCUAGCCUG